GAUGAACGCUAGCGGCAGGCCUAACACAUGCAAGUCGAGGGGCAUCACGGGAAAGCUUGCUUUUCUGGUGGCGACCGGCGCACGGGUGCGGAACGCGUAUGGAACCUGCCCCUGUCAGGGGAAUAGCCCAGGGAAACUUGGAUUAAUGCCCCAUGGUAUCCGGGAAUCGCAUGAUUUCCGGAUUAAAGAUUUAUCGGACAGGGAUGGCCAUGCGUACCAUUAGCUAGUUGGUAAGGUAACGGCUUACCAAGGCAACGAUGGUUAGGGGCCCUGAGAGGGGGAUCCCCCACACUGGUACUGAGACACGGACCAGACUCCUACGGGAGGCAGCAGUGAGGAAUAUUGGACAAUGGGCGGGAGCCUGAUCCAGCCAUGCCGCGUGCAGGAUGACUGCCCUAUGGGUUGUAAACUGCUUUUAUACGGGAAGAAACCUCCCCUCGUGAGGGGAUUUGACGGUACCGUAAGAAUAAGGACCGGCUAACUCCGUGCCAGCCGCCGCCGUAACAC
rnacentral:rRNA from 1 species